rnacentral:rRNA from 1 species
UGGGGAAUUUUGGACAAUGGGCGCAAGCCUGAUCCAGCAAUGCCGCGUGAGUGAAGAAGGCCUUCGGGUUGUAAAGCUCUUUUGUCAGGGAAGAAACGGCCUCAGCUAAUAUCUGGGGCUAAUGACGGUACCUGAAGAAUAAGCACCGGCUAACUACGUGCCAGCAGCCGCGGUAAUACGUAGGGUGCAAGCGUUAAUCGGAAUUACUGGGCGUAAAGCGUGCGCAGGCGGUUUUGUAAGUCUGUCGUGAAAGCCCCGGGCUCAACCUGGGAAUUGCGAUGGAGACUGCAAGGCUUGAAUCUGGCAGAGGGGGGUAGAAUUCCACGUGUAGCAGUGAAAUGCGUAGAGAUGUGGAGGAACACCGAUGGCGAAGGCAGCCCCCUGGGUCAAGAUUGACGCUCAUGCACGAAAGCGUGGGGAGCAAACAGG